UCAUGGCUCAGGAUGAACGCUGGCGGCGUGCCUAAUACAUGCAAGUCGAACGCACAGCGAAAGGUGCUUGCACUUUCAAGUGAGUGGCGAACGGGUGAGUAACACGUGGAUAACCUACCUCAAGGUUGGGGAUAACAUUUGGAAACAGAUGCUAAUACCGAAUAAAACUUCGUAUCGCAUGAUACAAGGUUAAAAGGCGCUACGGCGUCACCUAGAGAUGGAUCCGCGGUGCAUUAGUUAGUUGGUGGGGUAAAGGCCUACCAAGACAAUGAUGCAUAGCCGAGUUGAGAGACUGAUCGGCCACAUUGGGACUGAGACACGGCCCAAACUCCUACGGGAGGCUGCAGUAGGGAAUCUUCCACAAUGGGCGAAAGCCUGAUGGAGCAACGCCGCGUGUGUGAUGAAGGCUUUCGGGUCGUAAAGCACUGUUGUAUGGGAAGAACAGCUAGAGUAGGGAAUGACUUUAGUUUGACGGUACCAUACCAGAAAGGGACGGCUAAAUACGUG
rnacentral:rRNA from 1 species